GGACUACAGGGGUUUCUAAUCCCGUUCGCUCCCCUGGCUUUCGCGCCUCAGCGUCAGAAAGGGUCCAGGCAGCCGCUUUCGCCACCGGCGUUCCUUCCGAUAUCAACGCAUUUCACCGCUCCACCGGAAGUUCCGCUGCCCCCUACCCCCCUCCAGCGAAGCCGUAUCCCAGGCCCUGGUCCGGUUAAGCCGAACGCUUUCACCCCGGACGUGCUCCGCCGCCUACGCGCCCUUUAAGCCCAGUGAUUCCGAACAACGUUCGCACGGUUCGUCUUACCGCGGCUGCUGGCAC
rnacentral:rRNA from 3 species